ensembl:snRNA U6 U6 spliceosomal RNA
AUGCUCUCUUUGACAGCACAUAGAGUAAAAUUGGAAAGGUACAGAGUGGGUUACCAUGGCCCCAGGGCGAGGAUGACGCACACAUUUGUGAUAUAGAUAUUUUAU